GUGUGAUAAUGCCAGUUGGCAUAAACCCGUAGAUCCGAUCUUGUGGUGAAGUGAAAUACACAAGCUCGCCUCUCUGGGUCUGUGUCAGUGUGGUAAUCGGAC